UACGUAGGGUGCAAGCGUUGUCCGGAAUUAUUGGGCGUAAAGAGCUCGUAGGCGGUUUGUUGCGUCGGCUGUGAAAACCUGAGGCUCAACCUCAGGCCUGCAGUCGAUACGAGCAGACUAGAGUGUUGCAGGGGAGACUGGAGUUCCUGGUGUAGCGGUGAAAUGCGCAGAUAUCAGGAGGAACACCGGUGGCGAAGGCGGGUCUCUGGGCAACAACUGACGCUGAGGAGCGAAAGCGUGGGGAGCGAACAGG
rnacentral:rRNA from 1 species